rnacentral:tRNA from 1 species
AGUAAUAUGUCCGAAAAUUAAAGGUAAUAAACUGUAAAUUUAUUUAUAGAAAUUAUUCUUAUUACUA